AAGUCGUAACAAGGUUUCCGUAGGUGAACCUGCGGAAGGAUCAUUCUUGUAUUAUCUAGUAGUUUAUUGCUCAGGCAAUUUACUUUCUACUAUGUGAACAGUGAAGUAUUUACUUGAUUGCAACAAUGCAAAUAUUUUUUGUGUUGAUUGUGAUUGGGAAAAAUUCAAAACAAAUUUAACAUGAAUACUAUUAUAUAUUUACAAUUGUCUUAACAUAACAACAACAACAAUUAAAAAUACAACUUUUAGCAACGGAUCUCUAGGCUCUC
rnacentral:misc_RNA from 1 species